GACGCAUCACUGGUGUUCGGGUUGUCAUGCCAAUGGCACUGCCCGGUAGCUAAAUGCGGAAGAGAUAAGUGCUGAAAGCAUCUAAGCACGAAACUUGCCCCGAGAUGAGUUCUCCCUGAGACUUAGAGUCUCCUGAAGGAACGUUGAAGACGACGACGUUGAUAGGCCGGGUGUGUAAGCGCAGCGAUGCGUUGAGCUAACCGGUACUAAUGAACCGUGAGGCUUAACCUUACAACGCCGAAGCUGUU
rnacentral:rRNA from 1 species